UACGUAGGGUGCGAGCGUUAAUCGGAAUUACUGGGCGUAAAGCGUGCGCAGGCGGUUAUUUAAGUCAGGUGUGAAAGCCCUGGGCUUAACCUAGGAAUUGCGCUUGAGACUGGAUAGCUUGGAGUGCGGCAGAGGGAGGUGGAAUUCCACGUGUAGCAGUGAAAUGCGUAGAGAUGUGGAGGAACACCGAUGGCGAAGGCAGCCUCCUGGGCCAGCACUGACGCUCAUGCACGAAAGCGUGGGGAGCAAACAGG
rnacentral:rRNA from 1 species